AUGAGUAAAGUGGCGACCGGGUGAGUAACACGUGACUAACCUACCUUCGAGUGGGGGAUAACAUCGGGAAACCGAUGCUAAUACCGCAUAACAUCGCAAGAUCAAAGCAGCAAUGCGCUUGAAGAGGGGGUCGCGGCUGAUUAGCUAGUUGGUAGGGUAAUGGCCUACCAAGGCUUAGAUCGGUAGCCGGCCUGAGAGGGCGCACGGCCACACUGGAACUGAAACACGGUCCAGACUCCUACGGGAGGCAGCAGUGGGGAAUUUUGCGCAAUGGGGGAAACCCUGACGCAGCAACGCCGCGUGGAGGAUGAAGUCCCUUGGGACGUAAACUCCUUUCGACCGGGAAGAUACUGACGGUACCGGAAGAAGAAGCACCGGCUAACUCUGUGCCAGCAGCCGCGGUAAUACAGAGGGUGCGAGCGUUGUUCGGAAUUAUUGGGCGUAAAGGGCGCGUAGGCGGCGCGGUAUGUCACCUGUGAAAUCUCCUGGCUCAACUGGGAGCUUGCAGGCGAAACUGCCGUGCUGGAGUGUGGGAGAGGUGCGUGGAAUUCCUGGUGUAGCGGUGAAAUGCGUAGAUAUCAGGAGGAACACCUGUGGCGAAAGCGGCGCACUGGACCACAACUGACGCUGAGGCGCGAAAGCUAGGGGAGCAAACAGGAUUAGAUACCCUGGUAGUCCUAGCCCUAAACGAUGGAUGCU
rnacentral:rRNA from 1 species